CCAGUUGGCUGAAUAAUCGCGGCUGCAGGUGUCGAAAGACCGCAGGUGAGGAAAGUCCGGGCUUCAUAGGGCAGGAUGCCGGAUAACGUCCGGUGGGGGUGACCCUAAGACCAGUGCAACAGAAAUAUACCGCCACAGGCUGAUGCCGAGGCUCCGCAAGGACGUGGUAAGGGCGGAAGGGCAGUGUAAGAGACUACCGCCUGUCUGGUAACAGACAGGGCACAUGUAAACUCCAUCCGAAGCAAGACCGAAUAAGAGGCAGAGACGUGGCCCGCCAGUCUCAGGUAGGUCGCUUGAGCCUGUUGGCAACAGCAGGUCUAGAUAGAUGAUUAUUCACGACAUAACCCGGCUUACAGGCUGACUGGUAAU
rnacentral:RNase_P_RNA from 1 species